CAGUAGCCACGGUAAUACGUAGGUGGCAAGCGUUGUCCGGAACUAUUGGGCGUAAAGGGCUCGCAGGCGGUUUCUUAAGUCUGAUGUGAAAGCCCCCGGCUCAACCGGGGAGGGUCAUUGGAAACUGGGAAACUUGAGUGCAGAAGAGGAGAGUGGAAUUCCACGUGUAGCGGUGAAAUGCGUAGAGAUGUGGAGGAACACCAGUGGCGAAGGCGACUCUCUGGUCUGUAACUGACGCUGAGGAGCGAAAGCGUGGGGAGCGAACAGGAUUAGAUACCCCCGUAGUCCCUGUCUCUUAUAA
rnacentral:rRNA from 1 species